UACGUAGGGUCCGAGCGUUGUCCGGAAUUAUUGGGCGUAAAGAGCUCGUAGGCGGUGUGUCGCGUCGGGAGUGAAAACCCAGGGCUUAACUCUGGGCUGGCUUCCGAUACGGGCACACUAGAGGUAUGCAGGGGAGAACGGAAUUCCUGGUGUAGCGGUGAAAUGCGCAGAUAUCAGGAGGAACACCGGUGGCGAAGGCGGUUCUCUGGGCAUGACCUGACGCUGAGGAGCGAAAGUGUGGGGAGCGAACAGG
rnacentral:misc_RNA from 1 species